GUUUGGAGGAGUAUGUGUUAAAGGUAAAGUAUGCAAAUGCUGCACAUCUGAAAAGGAGGUUUAAUGGGACUUACAGUUCCACAUGGCUGGGGAGGCCUCAGAAUCAUGGCGGGAGGAGAAAAGUGCUUCUUACAUGGUGACAGCAAGAGAAAAUGAGGAAGAAGCAAAAGUGGAAACCCCCAAUAAACCCAUUAGGUCUUGUGAGACUUGUUCACUAUCACGGGAAUAGCAUGGAAAGACUGGCUCCCAUGAUUCAAUUACUUCCCCUUGGGUCCCUCCCACAACACAUGGGAAUUCUGGGAGAUACAAUUCAAGUUGAGAUUUGGGUGGGGACACAGCCAAACCAUAUCACUGGGCAUACACAUUGAGAGACGAAAUUGGCAAAGUGUGAUCUUCUG
rnacentral:lncRNA from 1 species